AGAAAGAAAGAAAGAAAGAAAGAAAGAAAGAAAGAAAGAAAGAAAGAAAGAAAGAAAGAAAGAAAGAAAGAAAGAAAGAAAGAAAGAAAGAAAGGAAGGAAGGAAGGAAGGAAGGAAGGAAGGAAGGAAGGAAGGAAGGAAGGAAGGAAGGAAGGAGAGAAAGGAAGGAAAGGAAGGAAAGGAAGGAAAGAAAGGAAAGGAAGGAAGAUUUAGAGAAAGGAGAGAAAAGGGUCCAGGAAAGAGCCCUAAGGAACUACAACAUCAAGAAGGCAGUAAAUGAAUGAUACAGUAAAAGACAUUGAGAAGUCAUUUUAAGUACAGGCAGAGGCAGUGCAGUAGCCAUCUUCAAACCCCUCUCAUUCAGGCACAAAGUGGUGUCUGUCCUUGCUUUCUCUGUCCACACUUGUGUGAUUCCAAGUGUUGAUGGCACAUCUUUUGCUUUCUUUGUUCAUUCUUCCAGGGACUCUAAUGACCUCACAUUAUUUCUCUUUGUUUUGUCACCAAAGUUGAGUAACUGUAUCUUGGUUACAAUGUUAGGGCAACAGUUCCCUUUGAGGGCUACUGCUUUUGAAAACCAGAAGCCUUGGCUACAUCUCAAUUCAUUGCCACAGAGUCUCCAGUUUUGACGCUCUCAUUUUUGCACACACACACACACACACACACACACACACACACACACCCUCUCCAAUUAUAAGAAGAUGCAUUUUUCUCCUCCACUUUCCCCUGAGUGUGAGGAAUGCCUAGAUGCCUAGUGCCUGAACAUCCAUAGUCCUAGAACCUUGGCACACACAUGCCCUUAAUUUAAGCCCUGGGAAGUAGCUCAGAGGAUGUGUGCUUAGGGUUACAAUAUUUGUUGACCCUGACCACAUCUUGUCAUCCUCGUCUCUGUGCCAGGCAAAGACUGGUUUCUGGGCAACGAGCACAGGGUAGAAACCCACAUAGAGUACCUCAGGGGUACAAACCACAUCUCUCCUCAUGCUAUCCCCCAAAGGGGAGGAACAACCAGGAACAUAGGUAUAACAUCAUACCAGAAAGACAAGCCCAAGAUCAAGUGCCCUGUAUCCAUGAUGAUUAUCCAGCCAUGCCUCCACCUUUGUUUUCUUCACACUCUCACCACUGCAUGCACGUAGGCCAGUCUGAACAAUGAUGAAAUGAGGGCUUUUCUCCUUGAAGAUUGCAUAUACCAAACAUGUGUUUGGUUUCCUUCCCUGCAGAGUUAAACUGGCUCAUUUCCUGGGACAUCUUGUGAAAUGAUCUCAUCCCUCCUCCACCUCCCUGCAACACUGAAGAUAUUGUCCAGGAGACAGACAUGUUCGUACAAAUGGAGUCUUUCCUGUUUUCACCUUUUAGUUCACUCUCCGGGGGUAACUUUCACAAUUUAUUCUUCCGGUAUUAAUUCUGAAGCUGUGUUUAAUUCAUUAUCCAAUGUAGUUCUUUCCAAGUUUUUAAAAAAUUAGCCUGCUCAUCAAAUAACUCCUUUUUUCUUUUUGAAAAAUUAUAUUUAAUUCAUUAAUUUAGAAUAUUUUUCUAUGGUUACAAGUUUCAUUUUCUUUCCCUCCCCUCCUAUAGCCAACACGCAAUUCCACUGGGUUUUACAUGUGUCAUUCAUCAAAUAACUUCUUAAAGAACAUAUUUGUAGAACAAUUAAGAGGUUAGUGAGAUGAGAUGGUUCAGAAUAACUUCCUCACUGGAGGAAAGAGGGUUAGCGAAUAUGUCGGGUCAUUUUCAACAGCAAUCUUGAAGGUUUCUUUAUCAGCCACUGAGGUAGGGAAUUGUAGGCAGCACUCCAAGGGCAAUCAGCUGCUCUAAAACCUACAAUUCCAAUUGCCAGCCAAGCUUUUGGCAAUUUCCCCCCAAAAGGCAAUCCCCCAGACUAGUCAUAAGGGCUUUAUGUCCUGGAGGUGGUAGACAUUACUGAGUGGCACAACUUCUUUGCUGAAGUGGUCAAUCCUCUUCUUUGGACAUGGGAAAGGCUAACAUUUGUAUAGGGCCUACUCUGUGCCAGACACUUUUCAAGUGUUAUCUCAUUCAGGCUGUACAAAAAUGGUGCAAGUGCAUCAUCAUCAUCUCAAUGUUAUAGAUGAUAAAACUGAGGUUAAGUGACUUUCCCAGGGCCACACAGCUGGUAUCUGAUUCUGGGUUUGAUUCUAGAUGUGGCUACCUAACUGCCCAGACCUUCUUGCUUCAACCUCCUAGGAAGUGGGAUUCAAGUGCUCAGAAUUAAAGAUCUUGGCAUUUAGCAGCCGCAGUGUUGGUUAUUUAUUAAUAAUAUGUGGUUAUAAAGUCUUUCAACAGUAGGCACUUUGGAGUCUCAUUUUCAGGGUAGGUUUCAACCCAUACCCAAUCCAUGCCUUCCCAAGACAAUAUUAAUCAUUAUAACUUCAGCUAUUUGAAUAAAAUCUGCCCAUGUGUUGACAAGGGACUGUACUGGCAGGUGAUGUAUAUUGCUUUUUCUUCAUUUUGAUUGGCUUCCCAAUUUGCCUAUGGAAUGGAGCAAAUGUGGAAUGGCUGUUGAAGGAGAAUUUGGAGAUCAGUCCAUUGUUUGCUGUAACAAAUCGUCCCAUUCCCUCUUUGCUCAUGUGAGAAAAGUGAAAAAGGCUCCCUCGUCUUCACUCCGUCUGAGGAGUGCCUUAGGGUCUGGGCACAAAGCCCAGCAGCCAGCCUCCCUGCAGCUUUUUCAGGUACAGGGCUGGAUCCUAGAGUGAGGUAAGAUGGGCUCUGCCUAAUGAAGGCUGGGAGAAAGGAACAACCAUGAAGCUGAAGCUCGAGACAGGACUCUGCGGAGCUAGUUCUAGUGCACCGUGCAGUGAGCAGCAGUAAGUACCUUUAGUGGGACAUGGUUUAGUAGGUAAAUUGCAAAGCACAUGCAUGAUUUUUAAUUUGGCUUUUUGCAGCAAGGUAACUUCUUGGCUGACUGUGGAGGGUGGAUGGGGAGAAUUAGACAGAGAUAGGGAGAGAGACAGAGACAGACAGAGACAGAAACAGAGACAGAGGGAGAGAGACAGAGAUAGAACAAAGGCAGAGAAACAGAGACAGGCAAACACAGAGA